rnacentral:rRNA from 1 species
AUUGAACGCUGGCGGCAUGCCUUACACAUGCAAGUCGAACGGCAGCACGGGAGCAAUCCUGGUGGCGAGUGGCGAACGGGUGAGUAAUAUAUCGGAACGUGCCCAGUCGUGGGGGAUAACGUAGCGAAAGCUACGCUAAUACCGCAUACGAUCUACGGAUGAAAGCGGGGGAUCGCAAGACCUCGCGCGAUUGGAGCGGCCGAUAGCAGAUUAGCUAGUUGGUGGGGUAAAGGCCCACCAAGGCGGCGAUCUGUAGUUGGUCUGAGAGGACGACCAGCCACACUGGAACUGAGACACGGUCCAGACUCCUACGGGAGGCAGCAGUGGGGAAUUUUGGACAAUGAGCGAAAGCCUGAUCCAGCAAUGCCGCGUGCAGGAUGAAGGCCUUCGGGUUGUAAACUGCUUUUGUACGGAACGAAACGGUUCUCUCUAAUACAGAGAGCUAAUGACGGUACCGUAAGAAUAAGCACCGGCUAACUACGUGCCAGCCGCCGCAGUAA